rnacentral:rRNA from 1 species
UGGGGAAUUUUGGACAAUGGGCGAAAGCCUGAUCCAGCAAUGCCGCGUGUGUGAAGAAGGCCUUCGGGUUGUAAAGCACUUUUGUCCGGAAAGAAAUCCUUGGCUCUAAUACAGUCGGGGGAUGACGGUACCGGAAGAAUAAGCACCGGCUAACCACGUGCCAGCAGCCGCGGUAAUACGUAGGGUGCAAGCGUUAAUCGGAAUUACUGGGCGUAAAGCGUGCGCAGGCGGUUUGCUAAGACCGAUGUGAAAUCCCCGGGCUCAACCUGGGAACUGCAUUGGUGACUGGCAGGCUAGAGUAUGGCAGAGGGGGGUAGAAUUCCACGUGUAGCAGUGAAAUGCGUAGAGAUGUGGAGGAAUACCGAUGGCGAAGGCAGCCCCCUGGGCCAAUACUGACGCUCAUGCACGAAAGCGUGGGGAGCAAACAGGAUUAGAUACCCUGGUAGUCCACGCCCUAAACGAUGUCAACUAGUUGUUGGGGAUUCAUUUCCUUAGUAACGUAGCUAACGCGUGAAGUUGACCGCCUGGGGAGUACGGUCGCAAGAUUAAAACUCAAAGGAAUUGACGGGGUCAUAGCUGUUUCCU